UCCUGUAGCAGUGAACCACCACAAACUCCAGCUCUCCACUAUCAAAAUGCCAGACUCUAAUGAAGCUGUGCCAGCACCGUGCCAGGUUAUCAAAGAGGACGUUGAUAAAUGUGUCAGAGAGAAGGGAGCGGAGGACUGUAAAGAUCUGAUAGAUGCCUUCCAGGCCUGUAUAAAAACCCUGUCUGAGGGAUCAUGAUACAUAAGGAAGUACAUCUUAAUAAAAAUCUUCACUUUAUCAAAGACCUCCACUUUCCCAGCAUUCCCUUCGAUGCCUAUUGCACUGGACUGAACCACCUGUAAAACUGAAGAGGGGGGCGAUGGCACUGAGCUUGUGAUACUGUAUUCCUCUGUCAAUGUGAAACUUUUUUUUCAUUCAGAAAUGUUUUAAUCUCAAUAUGAACUCUACAAUAACACAGAUUACAUGUGCACUGUAACAUUUUUAUGCACAAGAUCCAAAAUGCAAUAAACACAAAGCUUGUCCAUUUACCACA